UGGACUAGAUGGGAUCUA
rnacentral:snRNA from 1 species